rnacentral:misc_RNA from 1 species
GGCUACUAAAUUUUCCUCAGCAACUGCAACAUAGGAACAUCAUACCAAAGUAAACCAGAGCUAUUAGCAUGACUAUUAACAAAAACUUAAAAAGAAAAAGCAUACACAUCUAGUUAUUCCAUCCAAGCAAAUGGAAUCAUUAAACAUAGAACAAUUGGCUUUCAGUUCCAAAUUCUGAAGGAAAAAUCCAUAGAGAUGCACAGAAAUGAAGUGAUAAGAUGCAGACAAUGCAGAUUACCAUAAGCCACCAGUAGAUUGGGAU